UACGUAGGGGGCAAGCGUUGUCCGGAAUUAUUGGGCGUAAAGCGCGUGUAGGCGGCUCGGUAAGUCUGCUGUGAAAGUCCAGGGCUCAACCCUGGAAUGCCGGUGGAUACUGUCGAGCUAGAGUCCGGAAGAGGCGAGUGGAAUUCCUGGUGUAGCGGUGAAAUGCGCAGAUAUCAGGAGGAACACCGGUGGCGAAGGCGGGAUCCUGGGCCAGUACUGACGCUGAGGAGCGAAAGCGUGGGGAGCAAACAGG
rnacentral:rRNA from 1 species